rnacentral:tRNA from 2 species
GGUCCCGUAGUGUAGCGGUUAUCACGUCGCCCUGUCACGGCGAAGAUCGCGGGUUCGAUUCCCGUCGGGGACCG